rfam:Sorghum bicolor cultivar BTx623 chromosome 3, whole genome shotgun sequence.
UCGUAACACGAACCGGUGCUAAAAGGGUCCUGCCCAACGGCUACUGACAGGUGCUGUCGGGGCAAGGACCCUUUAGCACCGGUUCGUGUUACCAA